CUUCGGCCUUGAGCCACGCGUGUGGCUCUUACUAACCCUAACUUAUUUAAUUCAUCUCAUAGCAUUUUCUGUUGUUUUUCACGAAAUGUUUUCAACAGAAAGAGGUGAAUGGUCCUGCGACGCUAAAAAAACAUUUCUUGGUUGAAGUUGUUUGUCUCGAGCAUGAUAAACUGUUGGAUUACACUGUACAAGAUACGGAAAAUGACAAUUUGGUUUUCGUUUCCAUGUUUUUCUGUAACAAGGCGGUGUUUUCCAGUAGCAGACUUAUUAUGUUUCCCUGACAUAAAUUAAUAAGCAGGACUUCAAAGCGGUCAUGUAUGCAGAACGCAAAUGGCCUUGUUGACUUGCUUACAAUA
rnacentral:telomerase_RNA from 1 species